rnacentral:rRNA from 1 species
GCAACUCGCCUGUAUGAAGUCGGAAUUGCUAGUAAUCGCGGAUCAGCAUGCCGCGGUGAAUACGUUCCCGGGCCUUGUACACACCGCCCGUCACACCAUGAGAGCCGGGAACACCCGAAGUCCGUAGUCUAACCGCAAGGAGGACGCGGCCGAAGGUGGGUUUGGUAAUUGGGGUGAAGUCGUAACAAGGUACC